CUACUGGAUUUCACUAGUGUUCGCCACGCUUAUAAAUGGAAUAAACGCAGAUAAAAGUUCAGCUCUCUGUGCGAAAUCUGAAUUCUGGAACAAUGAUGCAGCUGUGUGUGUGCCUUGUUAUGAGUGCAAACAGUACCCAAAAAUUCCAUCAUGCGACACAUGCCCACCCAUAGAGCCUUCGGAUUCCUGGAGGGUGGCAGCAAUUACCAGUUUAUCUGUCCUGGCAGCCGUAAUUGUUUUUGGAGCCUUACUCAUAGGCGUUCUAGUACAUCAGUGCAGGUCCAGGAGGACCUUACGGGAUCCAAUUGAAGAGACAACGGGACCUCUUUAUGCAGUAUAGGUUCUUGAAACAUUUUUUUGUUUUUGUAUGCUUUGAAAGGGAUUUCUUCGGUUCAUGUGCGAUCUCCUAAAUGUUUGCAGCUCAUGGACCUCAAGGUGACAGCAUAUGGAAAUGGACUGUUACUCCAGUGAAUUAAUGCUCCAGUCGGGGAAGCAUUGGCUGGUACCUCAACCACAGAGUAUUCUAUGAGUAGCAUCUAAAUUGUUUAAUUUAUUUCAUGUUAUGCAUAGCGAAUAGUUAUGCACAAAAGCUGCACUGAGACCUUGUCAUUCACUGUGCAGAAUGAGUUCGCAAACCUUAGGUGCUAAGUGACACAACUGACAGCACGACAGCAUUUUUUACAUUCCUUUUUUUUUUUUUUUGGAACACUUAAGAUGCUUCGACGGGUGUUUUGCAGAAUUUAGUUUGAGGCCAUUCCUGUUGCAGUUAUAGUGCAUUUCCACUUGAUUAACUCCAAUUUGUUUAAGAUAGUACUAUUUUCCUUCUUUUUUUUUUUUUUUUACACCAAUAUGCCUCCUAAACAGAUUUAGCAUGGCACAUAGCCAUUUGAAUGUAUUUGUAUACUUCAUUUGUACAGUUUAGUUAUAUAUUUUUAUAGUGUUGAAAUACUACGCACUGUAGAUGUAGCCCUGUGUACAACGAUGUUCUGACACUGACCGGCUCAGCAGCCCGUCUAUGGCAUUGAUGAAGACUCUGGAGACAGAGGGAAACUGCAAAGACAAAGCAGCCGAUGAAACAGAAGAAUCGACAACUGACAAUUCAGAUUCUCUCUAUCAAAAAACAAAUAGCCGCAGGUGUCAGAAUCUUAAUUUUCCUGCCUUUAUGCACAUACGAGAUUAGAUAGUGAUAUUUACAUACUUGUAUCUACAUUUAAUCUCCCAUGUCUAAUCGUCUUAGUAAAAUGUUACAAAAGGAUAGAGUCAUCCAUUUCAGGUGUGUAGCUAGCAGUGGGCAUUAGGAAAUGUAUGUAUUUUUAUACAGGAGAUAAGAGUAAUUUUUAUAAAGCGUAUAAGACAUUAAAUGUUUGGAUGAAAUCAAACAAGAACAGGUGAAUCUCUAAAACCUACCAAGAUCAUGUCAGGGGUUUCAUUUCACCCUAGAUCAGGGAUGUCCAAACUCGGAGGGCCGGUGUCCUGCUGAGUUUAGCAGCUAGCUCUCUGCAACUCGCACAUGGUUGCCCACUAAAGCUAAGCAGGGCUGUGCCUGGUCAGUACCUGGAUGGAAGACCACAUGGGAAAGCUAGGAAGCUGCCGCAAGUGGUGUUGGUGAGGCCAGCAGGGGGCGCCCAACCUGUGGUCUGUGUGGGUCCUAAUGCCCCAGUAUAGUGAUGGGGACGCUAUACUGCUCAGUGAGCGCCGUCUAUCGGAUGAGACGUUAAACCAAGGUCCUGACUCUCUGUGGUCAUUAAAAAUCCCAGGAUAUCCUUCGAAAGAGAGUAGGGGUUUAACCCUGGCAUCCUGGCCAAAUCUGCCCACUGGCCUCUGUCCAUCAUUGCCUACUAAUCAUCCCCAUAUCAUAAUUGGCUUCAUCUCUCUGUCUCCUUUCCACCAAUCAGCUGGUGUGUGUGGUCUGGCACAAAAUGGCUGCCGUUGCGUCAUCCAGGUGGAUGCUGCACACUGGUGGUGGAUGAGGAGAUUCCCCCUAUUUGUAAAGCGCUUUGAGUGCCCAGAAAAGCGCAAUAUAAAUGUAAGGAAUUAUUAUUAACUUGCUUCAACACACCUGCCAGGAAGUUUCUAGUAUGUCUAGUAAGAGGUUGAUUA
ensembl:lincRNA